rnacentral:rRNA from 1 species
UACAGAGGGUGCGAGCGUUAAUCGGAAUUACUGGGCGUAAAGCGCGCGUAGGCGGCUUUGCAAGUCGCGUGUGAAAUCCCCAGGCUUAACCUGGGAACUGCAUUCGAGACUGCAUAGCUAGAGUAUGGGAGAGGGAAGUGGAAUUUCAGGUGUAGCGGUGAAAUGCGUAGAUAUCUGAAGGAACAUCAGUGGCGAAAGCGACUUCCUGGACCAAUACUGACGCUCAUGUGCGAAAGCGUGGGGAGCAAACAGG